UACGUAGGUGGCAAGCGUUGUCCGGAUUUACUGGGCGUAAAGAGCGCGCAGGCGGUCGUUCAAGUCGCGUGUGAAAGCCCCCGGCUCAACUGGGGAGGGUCACGCGAUACUGUCUCGACGAAGGCAGGAGAGGGUAGUGGAAUUCCCGGUGUAGUGGUGAAAUGCGUAGAUAUCGGGAGGAACACCAGUGGCGAAGGCGACUUCCUGGCCUGUUCUUGACGCUGAGGCGCGAAAGCUAGGGUAGCAAACGGGG
rnacentral:rRNA from 1 species